GACGAACGCUGGCGGCGUGCCUAAUACAUGCAAGUUGAGCGCUGAAGGUUGGUACUUGUACCGACUGGAUGAGCAGCGAACGGGUGAGUAACGCGUGGGGAAUCUGCCUUUGAGCGGGGGACAACAUUUGGAAACGAAUGCUAAUACCGCAUAAAAACUUUAAACACAAGUUUUAAGUUUGAAAGAUGCAAUUGCAUCACUCAAAGAUGAUCCCGCGUUGUAUUAGCUAGUUGGUGAGGUAAAGGCUCACCAAGGCGAUGAUACAUAGCCGACCUGAGAGGGUGAUCGGCCACAUUGGGACUGAGACACGGCCCAAACUCCUACGGGAGGCAGCUGUAGGGAAUCUUCGGCAAUGGACGAAAGUCUGACCGAGCAACGCCGCGUGAGUGAAGAAGGUUGUCGGAUCGUAAAACUCGGUUGGUAGAGAAGAACGUUGGUGAGAGUGGAAAGCUCAUCAAGUGACGGUAACUACCCAGAAAGGGACGGCUAACUACGUG
rnacentral:rRNA from 1 species